rnacentral:lncRNA from 1 species
CCGAGCCAGGCGGGCAGCCCAUCGAACGCUCACUCUUUCCUUUCCAGGAACAGAGCCUCGUGUGGGCUGCUGGGUCUGGACUGGGGAUGCUUCUGCUGGAAAGAGGGCCAGGGAGGAGGGCCAGACACGGACCUGACAGGUCAACACGCGCACGUCCAGGACAAAGGGGGUUUUGGAACAAGUAACAUCCGGCGAACAGCGACGCGGAGCGGUGGCAACGGGGCACGUGGAGAGGGAAACGAGCCGACGAGCCAGGGAAGAGACGAACGGCCAUCUGAAGGGACAGGAGAGGGGACAGGAGAGGGACCACGAGACGGCGGAACGGGACACAGCUGACACUG